rnacentral:rRNA from 1 species
AUACGGAGGGUGCAAGCGUUAAUCGGAAUUACUGGGCGUAAAGCGCACGCAGGCGGUUUGUUAAGUCAGAUGUGAAAUCCCCGGGCUCAACCUGGGAACUGCAUCUGAUACUGGCAAGCUUGAGUCUCGUAGAGGGGGGAAGAAUUCCCGGUGUAGCGGGGGAAUGCGUAGAGAUCUGGAGGAAUACCGGUGGCGAAGGGGGCCCCCUGGACGAAGACUGACGCUCAGGUGCGAAAGCGUGGGGAGCAAACAGGAUUAGAUACCCUGGUAGUCCACGCCGUAAACGAUGUCGACUUGGAGGUUGUGCCCUUGAGGCGUGGCUUCCGGAGCUAACGCGUUAAGUCGACCGCCUGGGGAGUACGGCCGCAAGGUUAAAACUCAAAUGAAUUGACGGGG